GAUGCUGGUCUGACAUUGCAACAGCUAGUCAGGUGCUUUCAUGUAUAAAAAGGGGUUUUGAUUCAAAUAUAAUUUUGCCUCUUUACAAACCAAUGGUUAGACCCCACCUUGGAUAUGCCGUGCAAUUUUGGGCACCAGUUUUAAAGAAGGACAUUGCCGAGCUAGAAAAAGUGCAGAGGAGAGCUUCAAAAUGAGUAAGGGGGAUAUAAGAAAAAGGAAAAUGGAAUUGUUUUCUUUAGAAAAAAAGUGCCUGAGAGGGGAAAUGUUAGCACUAUAUAAAUAUAUACAGGGUCAGUACAAACCGCUAUGUGCUAACCUGUUUAUUACUAGGAAUAUACACCAGACAAGAGGUCGUCCAUUGAGACUGGAAGAAAGGGGAUUUCACUUACAGCAGAGGAAAGGGUUCUUCACAGUAAGAACAAUAAAGAUGUGGAAUUCUCUGCUUAAAGAGGUUGUUUUAUCAGAUUCUAUAGAUACAUUUUAAACCGCUUGGGAGAUUUUUUGCAUAAACAUAAUAUUUAAGGAUAUAAUUGACAUGUAUGCAAACAGGCUGUCGAUCUAA